CAACCUGCCCUUCACCACGGAAUAAUCCAGUGAAAAUUGGUCUAAUACCGUAUGAGGUCAUACGAUGGCNUCAGAAUAUGACGAAAGGUUUGGCGGUGAAGGAUGGGGAUGCGUCUGAUUAGCUUGUUGGUGAGGUAACGGCUCACCAAGGCGACGAUCAGUAGGGGUUCUGAGAGGAAGGUCCCCCACAUUGGAACUGAGACACGGUCCAAACUCCUACGGGAGGCAGCAGUGAGGAAUAUUGGUCAAUGGGCGAGAGCCUGAACCAGCCAAGUAGCGUGCAGGAUGACGGCCCUAUGGGUUGUAAACUGCUUUUAUAUGGGGAUAAAGUGAGCUACGUGUAGUUUAUUGCAGGUACCAUAUGAAUAAGGACCGGCUAAUUCCGUGCCAGCAGCCACGGUAAUACGGAAGGUCCAGGCGUUAUCCGGAUUUAUUGGGUUUAAAGGGAGCGUANGCCGCCCCUUAAGCGUGUUGUGAAAUGCCGCGGCUCAACCGUGGCACUGCGGCGCGAACUGGGGGGCUUGAGUGCACGCAACGCANGCGGAAUUCGUGGUGUAGCGGUGAAAUGCUUAGAUAUCACGAANAACUCCGAUUG
rnacentral:rRNA from 1 species